rnacentral:rRNA from 1 species
AGUGAACGCUGGCGGUAGGCCUAACACAUGCAAGUCGAACGGCAGCACAGUAAGAGCUUGCUCUUACGGUUGGCGAGUGGCGGACGGGUGAGGAAUACAUCGGAAUCUACUUUUUCGUGGGGGAUAACGUAGGGAAACUUACGCUAAUACCGCAUACGACCUACGGGUGAAAUCAGGGGAUCUUCGGACCUUGCGCGAUUGAAUGAGCCGAUGUCGGAUUAGCUAGUUGGCUGGGUAAGGGCCCACCAAGGCGACGAUACGUAGCUGGUCUGAGAGGAUGAUCAGCCACACUGGAACUGAGACACGGUCCAGACUCCUACGGGAGGCAGCAGUGGGGAAUAUUGGACAAUGGGCGAAAGCCUGAUCCAGCCAUACCGCGUGAGUGAAGAAGGUCUUCGGGUUGUAAAGCCCUUUUGUUGGGAAAGAACAGCAGCAGGUUAAUACCCCGCUGUUCUGACGGUACCCAAAGAAUAAGCACCGGCUAACUUCGUG